rfam:Streptomyces caelestis strain NRRL B-24567 P188contig12.2, whole genome shotgun sequence.
UGGGACCAAUGAGGGCCCCGACGAGACGCGCCGUACCGGGGUGAAGGCAAAGACGACGCACC